UACGGAGGGUGCAAGCGUUGUCCGGAUUUAUUGGGUUUAAAGGGUGCGUAGGUGGCCUUGUAAGUCCGUGGUGAAAGCCUCCUGCUCAACAGGAGAACUGCCAUGGAUACUGCCGGGCUUGGGUGUAGACGAGGGUGGCGGAAUAGAUGCUGUAGCGGUGAAAUGCAUAGAUAGCAUCUAGAACCCCAAUUGCGUAGGCAGCUGCCUAGACUACUACUGACACUGAGGCACGAAAGCGUGGGGAGCGAACAGG
rnacentral:rRNA from 1 species